rnacentral:rRNA from 1 species
GACGGAGGGUGCAAGCGUUGUUCGGAUUGACUGGGCGUAAAGGGCGUGUAGGCGGUCGGCCAAGUCUGAUGUGAAAGCCCGAGGCUCAGCCUCGGAAGUGCGUCGGAAACUAGUCGGCUGGAGCGCGAUAGAGGAGGGUGGAAUUCCUGGUGUAGCGGUGAAAUGCGUAGAUAUCGAGAAGAACACCAAAAGGCGAAGGCAGUUAACUACUCUGUCUCUGACGUUGAGGCACGAAAGCGUGGGGAGCAAAACGG